AGUGAACGCUGGCGGUAGGCCUAACACAUGCAAGUCGAACGGCAGCACAGUAAGAGCUUGCUCUUACGGGUGGCGAGUGGCGGACGAGUGAGGAAUACAUCGGAAUCUACUUUUUCGUGGGGGAUAACGUAGGGAAACUUACGCUAAUACCGCAUACGACCUACGGGUGAAAGCAGGGGAUCUUCGGACCUUGCGCGAUUGAAUGAGCCGAUGUCGGAUUAGCUAGUUGGGGGUAAAGGCCCACCAAGGCGACGAUCCGUAGCUGGUCUGAGAGGAUGAUCAGCCACACUGGAACUGAGACACGGUCCAGACUCCUACGGGAGGCAGCAGUGGGGAAUAUUGGACAAUGGGCGCAAGCCUGAUCCAGCCAUACCGCGUGGGUGAAGAAGGCCUUCGGGUUGUAAAGCCCUUUUGUUGGGAAAGAAAAGCAGCAGGUUAAUACCCCGCUGUUCUGACGGUACCCAAAGAAUAAGCACCGGCUAACUUCGUG
rnacentral:rRNA from 1 species